rnacentral:rRNA from 1 species
CCUACGGGAGGCUGCAGUGAGGAAUAUUGGUCAAUGGACGAGAGUCUGAACCAGCCAAGUAGCGUGAAGGAUGACUGCCCUAUGGGUUGUAAACUUCUUUUAUCAAGGAAUAAAACGAGGCACGUGUGCCUUUUUGCAUGUACUUUAUGAAUAAGCAUCGGCUAACUCCGUGCCAGCAGCCGCGGUAAUACGGAGGAUGCGAGCGUUAUCCGGAUUUAUUGGGUUUAAAGGGAGCGUAGAUGGGUUGUUAAGUCAGUUGUGAAAGUUUGCGGCUCAACCGUAAAAUUGCAAUUGAUACUGGCAGUCUUGAGUACAGUUGAGGUAGGCGGAAUGCGUGGUGUAGCGGUGAAAUGCUUAGAUAUCACGAAGAACCCCGAUUGCGAAGGCAGCUUACUAAACUGUGACUGACAUUGAUGCUCGAAAGUGUGGGUAUCGAACAGGAUUAGAUACCCGGGUAGUC